rnacentral:rRNA from 1 species
AACGUAGGUGGCAAGCGUUAUCCGGAAUUACUGGGCGUAAAGGGUGUGCAGGCGGGGUUGCAAGUGGUGUAUGAAAUAUCCCAGCUUAACUGGGAGGGUUAUGCCAGACUGCAACUCUAGAGGACGAGAGAGGGGGGUGGAAUUCCGGGUGUAGUGGUGAAAUGCGGUAGAGAUCCGGAGGAACCCCAGAGGCGAAGGCGGCCCCCUGGCUCGUACCUGACGCUCAGCCACGAAAGCAUGGGGGAGCGAACGGG